rnacentral:rRNA from 1 species
GACGAACGCUGGCGGCGUGCUUAACACAUGCAAGUCGAACGAAGAGCGAUGGACGCUUGCUUCUAUCAAUCUUAGUGGCGAACGGGUGAGUAACGCGUAAUCAACCUGCCCUUCAGAGGGGGACAACAGUUGGAAACGACUGCUAAUACCGCAUACGAUCUAAUCUCGGCAUCGAGGAUAGAUGAAAGGUGGCCUCUACAUGUAAGCUAUCACUGAAGGAGGGGAUUGCGUCUGAUUAGCUAGUUGGAGGGGUAACGGCCCACCAAGGCGAGGAUCAGUAGCCGGUCUGAGAGGAUGAACGGCCACAUUGGGACUGAGACACGGCCCAGACGCCUACGGGAGGCAGCAGUGGGGAAUCUUCCGCAAUGGACGAAAGUCUGACGGAGCAACGCCGCGUGAGUGAUGACGGCCGUCGGGUUGUAAAGCUCUGUUAAUCGGGACGAAAGGCCUUCUUGCGAAUAGUGAGAAGGAUUGACGGUACCGGAAUAGAAAGCCACGGCUAACUACGUG